GACGAACGCUGGCGGCGUGCCUAAUACAUGCAAGUAGAACGCACAGUUUAUACCGUAGCUUGCUACACCAUAGACUGUGAGUUGCGAACGGGUGAGUAACGCGUAGGUAACCUGCCUGGUAGCGGGGGAUAACUAUUGGAAACGAUAGCUAAUACCGCAUAAUAUUAAUUAUUGCAUGAUAAUUAAUUGAAAGGUGCAAUUGCACCACUACCAGAUGGACCUGCGUUGUAUUAGCUAGUAGGUGAGGUAACGGCUCACCUAGGCGACGAUACAUAGCCGACCUGAGAGGGUGAUCGGCCACACUGGGACUGAGACACGGCCCAGACUCCUACGGGAGGCAGCAGUAGGGAAUCUUCGGCAAUGGACGAAAGUCUGACCGAGCAGCGCCGCGUGAGUGAAGAAGGUUGUCGGAUCGUAAAGCUCUGUUGUAAGAGAAGAACGGGUGUGAGAGUGGAAAGUUCACACUGUGACGGUAUCUUACCAGAAAGGGACGGCUAACUACGUG
rnacentral:rRNA from 1 species